CCUACGGGAGGCAGCAGUGGGGAAUAUUGCACAAUGGGGGAAACCCUGAUGCAGCGACGCCGCGUGAAGGAUGAAGGUUUUCGGAUCGUAAACUUCUAUCAGCAGGGAAGAUAGUGACAGUACCUGACUAAGAAGCCCCGGCUAACUACGUGCCAGCAGCCGCGGUAAU
rnacentral:rRNA from 1 species